rnacentral:rRNA from 1 species
UACGUAGGUCCCGAGCGUUGUCCGGAUUUAUUGGGCGUAAAGCGAGCGCAGGUGGUUUAUUAAGUCUGGUGUAAAAGGCAGUGGCUCAACCAUUGUAUGCAUUGGAAACUGGUAGACUUGAGUGCAGGAGAGGAGAGUGGAAUUCCAUGUGUAGCGGUGAAAUGCGUAGUUAUAUGGAGGAACACCGGUGGCGAAAGCGGCUCUCUGGCCUGUAACUGACACUGAGGCUCGAAAGCGUGGGGAGCAAACAGG